AACGAACGCUGGCGGCAUGCCUAACACAUGCAAGUCGAACGAGACCUUCGGGUCUAGUGGCGCACGGGUGCGUAACGCGUGGGAACCUGCCCUUAGGUUCGGAAUAACUCCCCGAAAGGGGUGCUAAUACCGGAUAAUGUCUUCGGACCAAAGAUUUAUCGCCUUUGGAUGGGCCCGCGUUGGAUUAGCUAUUUGGUAGGGUAAAAGCCUACCAAGGCGACGAUCCAUAGCUGGUCUGAGAGGAUGAUCAGCCACACUGGGACUGAGACACGGCCCAGACUCCUACGGGAGGCAGCAGUGGGGAAUAUUGGACAAUGGGCGAAAGCCUGAUCCAGCAAUGCCGCGUGAGUGAUGAAGGCCUUAGGGUUGUAAAGCUCUUUUACCCGGGAUGAUAAUGACAGUACCGGGAGAAUAAGCUCCGGCUAACUCCGUG
rnacentral:rRNA from 1 species